CCCUUCUGUUCCCCUUAGGAGGGCAGCCUUGCCUGAAACUGCAUUCCUUGCUCAUAAUUCCCUUUCCCCCGUUUCCUCCGCCCUUAAAACCCUUUCCCCUCCAGCAGCUCCUCUGCAUUUUCUGGACGGGACACUGCCAGAUUCGUGAACCGUUCCAUGAAGCCAAUGUGACCUUCAAAUCCGCUUGGUUGACUUCUGCGGUUUGGCAGACACACGAAGGCACGACAGGUGUGCGCACAGAUGAGCCCAGGCUCCGCACGCCCGCGGGUGGUGACAACGAGCCAACAUGGGCCGGGCUCUGGCAGAAACUCCUGCAAAUCCACUUCGAUCACGGUCUUAGUAGUUUGCACAACUACUGGAGGCAAGCAGAGCAUCAUGCCCAUUUUACAGACGGGGAAGCCAAGGCACAGAGAGCUGAAGCAACCUGCCCACGGUCACCCCAGUUGGUAAUGGGGAAGCCAGAGCCACAGCCCAGGCUGGCCAGGAGUCUCCUUGUUUCUUCAGGGUCCAUGUCUGAUUUCCUCGCAGGUUUCUGGAGCUGUAACGCUUACGCUAAAUCUCACGCUCCAUGAGCUCUGAGGCACAUACAUCCCCACGGAAGCGUUGCCACAACCAAGGGCUUCCCUGGGCCCCUCCGUGACCUCCCACUGCCCCGCGUCCCCUGGCACCCCUCUUCUGUUUUCCGUCCCUCUCCAUCUGUUUGCACGGUCCAGAAUCUUCUGUAAGUGGAGGUACAUGCCAUGUUCUCUGCUCUGCCUACAGACGCAGCGCCCGUGAUGACUGUGAGGGCAGGGACCUGUGAGCAGCCCACACCACGGGCUGUGCUCGGGGACACGCAGGUUCUCGCCCCGCUCCCACGCGCCUGCCGUCUUCCCACCUCAUUCCACAGCACGGUGGACGCCGGGGGGUUUUCCAGCAGAGACACGGCGUUUUCUGCAUUCGAUGGCCUCGUGACAGGGGCUGUUGCAUUUCCAGCUUGCACCCCACCUGCCCAGCCCGAAGGCCCCGCCAAGCUCACAUCUCACACCCUGACCAACACAGGAGACCUGGACAUGAAUCGUUAUGGACCGCGGUCACGCGGGAAGCAGAGUCCAGCCCAAUGCAUCCCUGAGGCCGAGCCCUGCUCCUAUCCUUUUAAGUAUGUCUUAUUUUUAACUAAUUGUUUUUUAAUCACGUCGAUGCCAACUCAUACGAACCAGAUUAUUUUAAUCACGUCGAGCUUCCACCACCUUGUAGACG
ensembl:lncRNA